GGCGUGGUGGCCUAAUGGUUAACGUUUUGGACUCCGGAUCGAGCGGUCUGGGUUCGAUCCCUGACCAGGGUG